GAUGAACGCUGGCGGCGUGCCUAAUACAUGCAAGUCGAGCGAAUGGAUUAAGAGCUUGCUCUUAUGAAGUUAGCGGCGGACGGGUGAGUAACACGUGGGUAACCUGCCCAUAAGACUGGGAUAACUCCGGGAAACCGGGGCUAAUACCGGAUAACAUUUUGAACCGCAUGGUUCGAAAUUGAAAGGCGGCUUCGGCUGUCACUUAUGGAUGGACCCGCGUCGCAGUAGCUAGUUGGUGAGGUAACGGAUCACCAAGGCAACGAUGCGUAGCCGACCUGAGAGGGUGAUCGGCCACACUGGGACUGAGACACGGCCCAGACUCCUACGGGAGGCAGCAGUAGGGAAUCUUCCGCAAUGGACGAAAGUCUGACGGAGCAACGCCGCGUGAGUGAUGAAGGCUUUCGGGUCGUAAAACUCUGUUGUUAGGGAAGAACAAGUGCUAGUUGAAUAAGCUGGCACCUUGACGGUACCUAACCAGAAAGCCACGGCUAACUACGUGCCAGCAGCCGCAGUAG
rnacentral:rRNA from 1 species